rnacentral:lncRNA from 1 species
ACUCUCAGGAUUGGCAUCUGGGGCCUUGAGGUCACAGAGCGAAUAAUGAUCCUGGUCUUCCUGCACCUGCUCGUGGGGAGAGCCCUGCCAGAGCCCGAGGUGAGGAUCGAAUGGGAAGACAUACACAUCUCAGCCUCCCUAUCUACAUACCCUAUCCAGUGGUCCUCCCAUAUCUCCCCAAGCAAUGGAUCAGUGAAACCCAAGAAGCUUCCCAGUUGCCAUGGAAAUGGCACGGAUGCAUCUAAUAGGAAGUAAGAAUGGAAGGAGUGGAUUCUACAGCUGCCUUAGGCACCCCUGAGUAAGUUUUCCAGUUACCCUUUGCAUGCAGAGUCCAAAAUUUCUCUGGUAAUAGGAAGAGCCCUGAGGUUCUCAGUGUGCUCCAACUGGCAGUGGAUUACCACAUUUUCACCCCAGCUCUGGCCCAGGUCCACUACGCAGGGCUAGUCAGCCCUCUUCCAGCCUGAUACCUUUCGGGGGAUAGCCAUUCCAAAAUACGGGAACAAGAAGAGGGGUUCCCCAAUAGUUAUACAAAACCACUUGCUGUCUGAAGCAAACUCAUAAUGGAGCACCCAUGGAUGGGGCAUGGAGGGAGAGCCCGCAAGGGUGCCUGACCCACUCAUCUUUCAUUGGUCUCAAAAGCAGCUGUGUUGGGGACCAGCACCAGGUAAGUCAAAAUCAUCCCACCCAUGGCGGGAUGCUCUUACUUGCCAGGCAGACUUGUCUCCUUUCUACCUGGACCUGUCAAUGUUAGAGGCUCUGAGGACUAGUUUACAAGGGGGUACAGGGAAGUCUAGGAGGAAGACUGGGAAUCACAGAGAGAGAAGACAUGUCGAAAAGGAUAACCCUCAAGUGGGAGUGAAGACGGGAAGGAGUGGGGGAAGGUCAAGGGAAUGGGUAUCAACAGGCCAGGUGCUGCCCUGGGUGCCUCGUUCUCUGUGUCCUAGAGCUGCUUGCUUCCUUUUUGGGACCUUGUUCCUAUCCUCUGUAGCGAUCUCUUCCAUAUCUGAAAUUUAGUGUUUUUAGGGACAGAGUGACAAGGCACAGGGAGCUGAAGAACUGUCCAGAAGGCAUCAGAAAUGCCCACAGAGAAGCAGGGGCUAAGGCUCUGGAAGACAUUAUUGCAGGGACACAUCUCCCCACAUCUUCCUGAAGACUAGAGCCUCCUCUAGCUGUGUGUUAACCCCCAACCCCCUUGUCAUAUAUUUAAACCAUUUGCCUGACCAUCCAACUCUUAAUCAGGUGUGUAAUUGGGGAGCUGGGGGUAAUGCGUAAAUGAGCAUGGAGUCCCCGGUCUUCCAUUUUUGUUAUGGCUUCCAACAGCUGAGUACCCACACUCUAUCCUUUUGUUCUACAAUCUUGUCCUUUCCCACCUCAUUUUCCACUCCACAGGCUGGAGGGUCAAACACUCAGGGUCUUUGUUAAAGCCCCAACUGGAAAAGAGUCACUGUCCCUACUUCUCAGCACAAUAUAGGCUCGAGUAAGGAGCAAACACAUUCAGAUGUACAAACAAUCCCUGUGGACGAUCCAACUUUGAAUUUAGCUUGAGCUUAGGGUUCAGUUCUAUCCCUUCAUCUGGUUCUGUUCUAACUUGAAGAAGCAGAGGCUGCUGGCAUCUAAACGUGGUAAGAGACCUUCCGUUCACUUUGCGACCCCAGACCCCAGCUGGAAGAUCCAACACCAAGACUGGGUUUCUAGGCUCUUACCGACCCCUUCGAGGUAAUCCUGGGCUAAGAAGGUGCCCCCUUUGCCUACAACUCUUUCCCUCAUGUCUGAGCCUCACAACUGACCAGAACACCCCUCCUUUCUUCUGUCUAUUCCCCAGGGUGCAGUUGAAAAGGUUUAUUUGCAUCCCAAUCCAUUUAUGAUUUACCCAAAGCCUUUGGCCCAGAGCAGACCAACACGGGUAUCCUCACUUUACAGAGAUGACCAAGGUGGAGAGAGGGGAGGCGACUUUCUUGGGAUCACACAAUCAAUAUGUCAUGACUAUAGGCAUUUGAAAUGCAAGUUUGACCCCCAAACCUAUGAUGUCAAGCACUCUGUUCCAGGCUUUGGGGGUCCUGACUGGUGGGUAGGAACAGGCAGGCAGAGGGGGGCGGGCAGCGGAGGUAGGCGUGGGUCAGGAAUAAAAAUAUACCAGAGAAAGGAAUGUUGCUUACUUUAUCCUGCAAUGUUUCCUUGGGUCUUCUUUCCAUUCUUGGCUGAGAGCAUGCAUUAUUUAUCCCUCACACACAGAAUUUUUGCAGUUGUAAUAAAGGUCAGAAGAGGAGAAGAGAGUUAUCUAAAUCCACAGCUAUAUUCAGGUGCACUUAGAAUGACAUAUCGAGUCUAAUGGAAUCCAUUUGGGAGCAAAAUAAAGAUGUGAGCUUAGGUGUUUUUUCUUUCCUUCUUCCUUUAUUCUUUUAUUCCUUCCUUGUUUGCCUAUAAGAAAAAAAUAAUUAUAAUCAGGUUUGUGCCCCUCCUGGACCCAUCCUCCUUCUUCCCUCCGCUGACCC